rnacentral:rRNA from 1 species
CCCUUAGAUGUUCGGGGCCGCACGCGCGCUACACUGAAAGAAUCAGCUGGUAAGUUGCUCCUGGCUUGGAAACGUCGGGCAACCCGUUGAACCUCCUUCGUGCUUGGGAUUGGGGCUUGCAAUUAUUCCCCAUGAACGAGGAAUUCCCAGUAGGCGCGAGUCAUCAGCUCGCGUCGAUUACGUCCCUGCCCUUUGUACACACCGCCCGUCGCUCCUACCGAUUGAAUGCUCAGGUGAGCCAUUCGGACUUUCAUCAUGCUGGUUUCCAGUUUUGAUGAAGGAAAGUCUUGCGAACCUUAUCAUUUAGAGGAAGGAGAAGUCGUAACA